rnacentral:rRNA from 1 species
UACGUAGGGCGCGAGCGUUAUCCGGAAUUAUUGGGCGUAAAGAGCUCGUAGGCGGUCUGUCACGUCGGAUGUGAAAACUCGGGGCUCAACCCCGAGCCUGCAUACGAUACGGGCAGACUUGAGUUCGGCAGGGGAGACUGGAAUUCCUGGUGUAGCGGUGAAAUGCGCAGAUAUCAGGAGGAACACCGGUGGCGAAGGCGGGUCUCUGGGCCGAUACUGACGCUGAGGAGCGAAAGCGUGGGGAGCGAACAGG